rnacentral:rRNA from 1 species
UAGAGCUUGAUCCUGGCUCAGGACGAACGCGGGCGGCGUGCCUAAUACAUGCAAGUCGAGCGGACUUCUUAAAAGCUUGCUUUUAAGAAGUCAGCGGCGGACGGGUGAGUAACACGUGGGCAACCUGCCCCUAAGACUGGGAUAACUUCGGGAAACCGGAGCUAAUACCGGAUAAUAUAAGGAACCUCCUGGUUCUUUAUUGAAAGAUGGUUUCGGCUAUCACUUACAGAUGGGCCCGCGGCGCAUUAGCUAGUUGGUGAGGUAAUGGCUCACCAAGGCGACGAUGCGUAGCCGACCUGAGAGGGUGAUCGGCCACACUGGGACUGAGACACGGCCCAGACUCCUACGGGAGGCAGCAGUAGGGAAUCUUCCACAAUGGACGAAAGUCUGAUGGAGCAACGCCGCGUGAGCGAUGAAGGCCUUCGGGUCGUAAAGCUCUGUUGUUAGGGAAGAACAAGUGCGAGAGUAACUGCUCGCACCUUGACGGACCUAACCAGAAAGCC